rnacentral:rRNA from 1 species
CCCCUUAUGUCCAGGGCUUCACGCAUGCUACAAUGGCUGGUACAGAGAGUGGCGAGCCUGUGAGGGUGAGCGAAUCUCGGAAAGCCGGUCUCAGUUCGGAUUGGGGUCUGCAACUCGACCCCAUGAAGUCGGAGUCGCUAGUAAUCGCAGAUCAGCAACGCUGCGGUGAAUACGUUCCCGGGGCUUGUACACACCGCCCGUCACGUCAUGAAAGUUGGUAACACCCGAAGCCAGUGGCCUAAACUUG